rnacentral:rRNA from 1 species
UACAGAGGGGGCAAGCGUUGUUCGGAAUUACUGGGCGUAAAGGGCGCGUAGGCGGCCUGUUAAGUCGAACGUGAAAUCCCCGGGCUCAACCCGGGAACUGCGUCCGAUACUGGCAGGCUUGAAUCCGGGAGAGGGAUGCGGGAAUUCCAGGUGUAGCGGUGAAAUGCGUAGAUAUCUGGAGGAACACCGGUGGCGAAGGCGGCAUCCUGGACCGGCAUUGACGCUGAGGAGCGAAAGCCAGGGGAGCAAACGGGG